ensembl:processed_transcript
GAAAUCAGUGAUGAAGAAGCAGUUCAGAUCCAAGUGCCUUCAGUUCUUCCUGCAGACUCUUUCACACUCAGACCGUAUGUGGAGAAAUCAGAAACGCUCAGCAAACUGGUUCAGCUCGGUGUCAAUCUGUGGGAUCUGGAGCAGAGGCCUAAUGUGGGCUCCAUGCUGGUUCGGCUCGACUUCCAGGCAGACGUUGCACCCAGACUGCUCUUCCUCAGAGAUCUGGGAGUUGAGGAGUCCGCGUUGGGUCGACUGCUCACCAAGAACCCCUUCAUCCUUGCGGAAAGCCUGGACAACCUUCAGGCCAGGCCUGAUGCGGGACGACACCAUCGAUGAGGGCAGUGAUGUGAAAGAGGCUGUUCGUCGUCUUCCAGAGCCACUUUACAAUGAGAGGGUUUUCCGCCUCAAGAGAGCCAUGGAUCUUUCCAUGAAGCACCAGAUCCUUCCCAAAGACCAGUGGACGAAAUUUGAGCAGGAUGUGAAGUACCUGGAGCCGUACCUGCAGGAGGUGAUCCGUGAAAGGAAAGAGAAAGAGGAGUGGGAUAAGAAAUAGGAAGAGCGUGAUGACGAUGAUCAAGCUCUUCUUUGCUGCGAUGUCUGGUAUUCUUGUAUUUAAAAGAAAAUGUAUUAUGUGAUGAGUCCUUAUUAAAAUUUCCUUUCUGACAAAA